CUAGCGCUUAAUAAAGAGCUGGAAUUACAAAAAAAGUCCUUAUUUAGAGUAAAAAAAUAUGACAACGUAAACAGCAAGAUUAAUAAUGGCGAUAGUUUAGAUGAUCCGGAUGAUCCAGAUUUUAUUCCAGAGCAAGCAAAGAAAAUGAAGAUACAAAAACCUAAAUGUGUGUUAAAAAAUACUGGUUCUCAAAUAAAAAAAAAACCCAAAAUUAAUAUUAUUUCGGACAUAAUUAUUUGUAAGCCUCAAGGAAUAUUGGCAAAAAGUUGCCUAACUGAAAAUCCAAAUGAAUUUAUUACGGGUUAAUUAAAUAUUAUGAUUGAAAAUGUUAUUAAAGAAUGUGAGCAAAAUCAGCUAAACAAAUUUACAAAGGACGGAAAAGUUCGAAAAAGGAAAAGAUAUAACACAUCUUUAGAGGACCGGAAAAAACAGAAACGGUAUCUGUCUGUAAAGAGAAUCAAUAAGAAAAGAAAAACUAAAGAUGGAGAUUCUAGGCGUAAUCACACAGUAGUUUACUACUUAAAAUCUAAUACAAGGACUAACGUAAAUGUGUGCAAAAAAAAAUUUUUUUUGGCAAUUUUAGGUUUUGAAGUUUAUAAUGAUCGAAUAAUUACCCUAACACAAAUAUUUCAUACGAACUUUAUCGCCAACAAGUGGUUGAGAUGAAUAUUUCUUUUGCAACGUUGGGCCAUGAAGAGUGUUGGCAAUGCGAAACAUUUAAUCUUCAUUCUAAAAAUACAAAACAUGACAAAGAAAAUCUCAACUCUGACUGUGAAGAUUGUGAAAAAUGGAAAAUUCACUAUGAAAAUGCCGUAGAGGCGAGAAAUGAGUAUAAAAAAGACGCAUCUUUUACUGCAGUAAACUCUGAUUCAUUAUAUUUUUCUGCAGAUUUACAGAAGGUUAUAAUGCUACCACGCUGUGAGAUGUUUGAAGAAAUUUUUUUUACUCCUCGGAUUAUUUGUCUUAAUGAGAGUUUCGUUACCCUCGGCAAGCAAUCUGUAAAAAACAAACCAGUAGCUAUUAUUUGGCAUGAAGGAGUGGCUGGAAGGAGUAAAUCUGAUAUUAUCUCAACAUUCUACAAAUUUCUCUUGUUUCACCGUGAUGCAAAAGAAAUAAUACUUUGGCUAGAUAAUUGCGCCGCCCAAAAUAAGAAUUGCGCUUUGUAUUGUUUUUUUUUAUUUAUUUAAUUAAUUCAGCAGAGGUUAAUCUAAAUUUACUAAAAAUAAAAUAUUUGCAAACUGGCCACACUUUUAUGUCUGCUGACUCUGCACUCACUCAGGUGGAAAAGUCCUUAAAACAAACAGGCAAAGUUUUGGAUUUUGAUGAUUUUAAAUUAGGUAUGUGUU